rnacentral:rRNA from 1 species
GAUUGAACGCUGGCGGCGUGCCUAACACAUGCAAGUCGAGCGGUAACAGGUGUAGCAAUACAUGCUGACGAGCGGCGAACGGGUGAGUAAUGCUUCGGAAUCUACCCAAUGGUGGGGAAUAACCAGCCGAAAGGUUGGCUAAUACCGCAUACGUCCCACGGGAGAAAGUCAGGGGAUCGCAAGACCUUGCGCCAAUGGAUGAGCCGAAGUCGGAUUAGCUAGUGGUAGGGUAACGGCCUACCGAAGGCGACGAUCCGUAG